rnacentral:misc_RNA from 1 species
AGUCGUAACAAGGUUUCCGUAGGUGAACCUGCGGAAGGAUCAUUAACCUUUCAAAAAACAGGGUGCGUCGCGGCCCCCCUCCGGGGGCGGUUUGGGGUCCUCCCCUUCACGCGCGCACGACUGCAUCCUUACUUUACGAGCACCUUCUGUUCUCCCUCGGCGGGGCAACCUGCCGUUGGAACCGAAUAAACCCUUUUUUGCAUCCAGCAUUACCCGUUCCGAAACAAACAAUCGUUACAACUUUCAACAAUGGAUCUCUUGGCUCUGGCAUCGAUGAAGAACGCAGCGAAAUGCGAUAAGUAGUGUGAAUUGCAGAAUUCAGUGAAUCAUCGAAUCUUUGAACGCACAUUGCGCCCCUUGGUAUUCCGGGGGGCAUGCCUGUUCGAGCGUCAUCUACACCCUCAAGCUCUGCUUGGUGUUGGGCGUCUGUCCCGCCUCAGCGCGCGGACUCGCCCCAAAUCCAUUGGCAGCGGUCCUUGCCUCCUCUCGCGCAGCACAUUGCGCUUCUCGAGGGGCUCCGGCCCGCGUCCAACAAGAAAACAUUACCGUCUUUGACCUCGGAUCAGGUAGGGAUACCCGCUGAACUUAAGCAUAUCAAUAAGCGGAGGA